UACGUAGGGUGCGAGCGUUGUCCGGAAUUAUUGGGCGUAAAGGGCUCGUAGGCGGUCUGUUGCGUCAGGAGUGAAAACUCGGGGCUUAACCCCGAGCCUGCUUCUGAUACGGGCAGACUAGAGGUAUGCAGGGGAGAACGGAAUUCCUGGUGUAGCGGUGAAAUGCGCAGAUAUCAGGAGGAACACCGGUGGCGAAGGCGGUUCACUGGGCAACUUCUGACGCUGAGGUGCGAAAGCUAGGGUAGCAAACGGG
rnacentral:rRNA from 1 species